GACGAACGCUGGCGGCGUGCUUAACACAUGCAAGUCGAACGGAAAGGCCCUGCUUUUGUGGGGUGCUCGAGUGGCGAACGGGUGAGUAACACGUGAGUAACCUGCCCUUGACUUUGGGAUAACUUCAGGAAACUGGGGCUAAUACCGGAUAGGAGCUCCUGCUGCAUGGUGGGGGUUGGAAAGUCUCGGCGGUUGGGGAUGGACGCGCGGCUUAUCAGCUUGUUGGUGGGGUAGUGGCUUACCAAGGCUUUGACGGGUAGCCGGCCUGAGAGGGUGACCGGCCACAUUGGGACUGAGAUACGGCCCAGACGCCUAUGGGAGGCAGCAGUGGGGAAUAUUGCACAAUGGGCGGAAGCCUGAUGCAGCAACGCCGCGUGUGGGAUGACGGCCUUCGGGUUGUAAACCGCUUUAGCCUGUGACGACGCGUGAGUGACGGUAAUGGGUAAAGAAGCACCGGCUAACUACGUG
rnacentral:rRNA from 1 species